UGUACAGUGUAUGCAAUUCUUUUUGUGGGGGUGAAGUUCAGUGGGAGUGUCUUCCCAACUACCAUGCAAUACACUGGGAGGUUUUCAAAUGGCAGCCUCCAUUAUGGGCUGUGAUGCAGAGGCACUGUCCUCAACAUGUUUUCCUCCUUGCAUUCAACAUUGUGUGUUUGCCCAUUAAAUCCACUUUAAAGGUGAAUUCUGUGAAUAAAGAUCUUAUCUUUCCAUAAGCAUCCUCAUGGUUUUCGGGCUGUUGACCAUUGGCUCAGCCACUGUACCGCUUCUGGUUUUCUACCCUUGCCAAGAGAAUAACAGCUCUAUGUGAAGGGCACUGCAGAAUCUCAUCCUCAUAAUAUUUUCUUUUGUUUAAUUGCAGAAACUAUCCCAGGAGAGGGUGAGAAGUAAGUACCGUGAAGUAACUCACUUCAUGAGGGACCAACUUGCUGCUUGAGUGUAUAGAACCCUGAUUCUGGGAUCCCGCUAGGAAGGAGGAUUGGGGUCUCCUGAGAGAAAGUGAUGUGGCCAAUAUAGAACUCCAGCCAGAGAGGCUGUAGGAAGGUUUGUCUAUGCAGAGCAAAGACCAGGGAAUGAUGUGUGAGGCAGCAUGGCUUCAGCUGGAGGAAGAGGCAUGGGUGAGUCACUCUUUCUAAUGACUUGUCCUGAUGUUUUUGUUUCUAAAGGCUGGAUUCUGGGGAGCGUCUUCAGGCUCACUGAAGACAACCCCCAAGGUAGGGAACUACUUUCCAGGUAGGACCUGAUGGGAAAAGGUUCCUGAGAGCCUUCACGUUAUCCCCGCUGCUUGAGGGGCUGAAGAAGGGAGUAUGAAAUCAGAAAGAAAAUGAAAAUGUGUGUGAGGUUUGGUUUGUUCUUUUCAAAGUUUGUUGUCAUAAAGGUAGGAGCUGUCUCUCUGGGCUGUGAGGGUGCUGUGUUCGUUAGAGACGAUCUUUGCAGUACACCCUCUCUUUUCUGCCCAGGGAAAUAUCAAAACCUUUAGUUUGGAUUAAUCAGCACUCCUUGGGAUCAUGCACAAGGGAUGUAGGACUGGGCAUUGAGUGUCAUCUGUACUGGAAGGAAGGAAUCUGUGGGAACAUCUCUCUCACAGGCAUUGACUUGAACUUAGAGAAAAAGUGCAUGUGCCAAGGGGAAAUUGAUAAUCACCCUCUAAACCUUUAAGAUUUGUUAUAGCACAUUUAGGUUUCUGUCCUCUCUGUGGGUUUAAAGGGGUCUCCCAGGGGUGGAUGGCAGAGUGAAUGUUCGCUCUGGGCUCACUGGUACAUCUCCAGUCUCCCGGGAAGACGGGAGAAGUCUGACCUUGAUCAUAUUUGUAGCCUCCACUUCCCACCCCUAUGACAGAUUCUGAGAUGAGGCUUCUUUCUCUCCAGUUCUCUAAGUUUUGGGGAAACCAAGAGUUCCUUCCCACAGAAGAUGGCAUUACACUAUUUCCUGUCUUCAAAAAUUAGACUUCUGUUGUUCUCUAAGUUGAUAUUUAUAGGUUAAGUUCUGGACCUUUUAUUCAAAGAUUGCUAAAAGUUGUGCAGGAAACUCCUAUGAUAAAAUGUGCUGAUAGCACAUAAUUCUGUCCAUGGUACGGAUGACAUUUUUAUCUUUGGAGGAUCCUCAUUUUACAUAAUAAGAUACAAAACUAAGUGGGCACCCUCUAUCCAGUCUGGGGCACUUCAUUAAAGACCUGAGUUUGCUGCUGACUGUCAUUUGCUUUUCUUUAUGACACUUUUGAACCACCUAAAUAUUGCCAGCACCCUCUUUUGGGACCCUGACAUCUGAGAGGGCCAGUAGGUUUGUGUACGGCCGUCUGACCCCAGCCAUGUAGUGCCGGUGUUCAUCUGAAGUGUGACUCUGGUAAGUAUUCUGGAAUUAUUGUCAAGAAAAAGCUGGUGUCAAUGUGAAGUGCCACCCUGAUUCUGGGAUUGUGAUAGGAGUAAGCAUAGUGAAAGUGUUCUUUAAAAACCUGAAUUCCCCAGGGAAAAAUCAUGGCCAGAUUUUGAGGCAGCAGCUGUGCUCCCUUUUGGGUGGCACUGAGUUGGGUGCUUGAGGAUUGGCGGUGUCUUGUGUGAGGCUGCAUCAUGUGAUGUGAAUGUGGAGCUUCUGUGCAGGCGAGGCUGUGUGUGUUCUCAGGAGAGAGUUCCCAUUUACACAGUCCAUUCGCCAGUGUCCACUUCUAAAAAUUAAAAUCCAGCCCCACUCUACUCUGUCUGUACAGUGACUCCUCCAACCUCACCAGAGCCAUCCCUGGGUCUGGUUUAUUAUCCUCACUGCUCAGGUGGAGACCCUGAAGGGCCAAGGGGUGGCCCAGCUCCCAAGUUCCUGAAUGAAAAAGAGAAAACACGAACCCAGGAGUGUGGGCCUGUGCUGACACUGGCAACUACUGGCAUGCUCUUAGUCAGGGUGCGUUCGCCACCACGCAGGGAGUCCAGCAUUCGUGUAUAAGCCCUAAGGAGGUCCCAGACACUG